GUCCCAGACUCCUACGGGAGGCAGCAGUGGGGAAUAUUGGGCAAUGGGCGAAAGCCUGACCCAGCGACGCCGCGUGAGGGAAGAAGGUCUUCGGAUUGUAAACCUCUUUCAGCAGGGAAGAAGAAAGUGACGGUACCUGAGUAAGAAGCCCCGGCUAACUACGUGCCAGCAGCCGCGGUAAUACGUAGGGGGCAAGCGUUAUCCGGAUUUACUGGGUGUAAAGGGAGCGUAGACGGCAGUGCAAGUCUGGAGUGAAAGGCGGGGGCUCAACCCCCGGACUGCUCUGGAAACUGUACGGCUGGAGUGCAGGAGAGGUAAGUGGAAUUCCUAGUGUAGCGGUGAAAUGCGUAGAUAUUAGGAGGAACACCAGUGGCGAAGGCGGCUUACUGGACUGUAACUGACGUUGAGGCUCGAAAGCGUGGGGAGCAAACAGGAUUAGAUACCCGCGUACC
rnacentral:rRNA from 1 species